GCAAUGGACGGAAGUCUGACCGAGCAACGCCGCGUGAGUGAAGAAGGUUUUCGGAUGCGUAAAGCUCUGUUGUAAGAGAAGAACGAGUGUGAGAGUGGAAAGUUCACACUGUGACGGUAUCUUACCAGAAAGGGACGGCUAACUACGUGCCAGCAGCCGCGGUAAUACGUAGGUCCCGAGCGUUGUCCGGAUUUAUUGGGCGUAAAGCGAGCGCAGGCGGUUAGAUAAGUCUGAAGUUAAAGGCUGUGGCCUAACCAUAGUACGCUUUGGAAACUGUUUAACUUGAGUGCAAGAGGGGAGAGUGGAAUUCCAUGUGUAGCGGUGAAAUGCGUAGAUAUAUGGAGGAACACCGGUGGCGAAAGCGGCUCUCUGGCUUGUAACUGACGCUGAGGCUCGAAAGCGUGGGGAGCAAACAUGAUUAGAUACCCUGGUAGUCCACGCCGUAAACGAUGAGUGCUAGGUGUUAGACCCUUUCCGGGGUUUAGUGCCGCAGCUAACGCAUUAAGCACUCCGCCUGGGGAGUACGACCGCAAGG
rnacentral:rRNA from 1 species